rnacentral:rRNA from 1 species
CAUGUCUUUUUGAUUAUAAUUUAAAGUCUGACCUGCCCUAUGAAUGAAUUUUAAAUGGCUGCGGUAGUUUGACCGUGCAAAGGUAGCAUAAUAAUUAGUUUUUUAAUUGGGAACUGGCAUGAAUGGUCGAACGAGAAAAAGACUGUCUCAAUUUAAUUUAAAUUAGAAUUUUAUUUUUAAGUAAAAAAGCUUAAAUAUUCUUAAAAGACGAGAAGACCCUAUAGAGUUUUAUAUAAUUUAUUUUACUUGAAAGUUAAAGUAUUUUAGAUUCGAGUAGGUUAAUUUGUAUUUGAUUGGGGCGAUUAAAAAAUUUAAUUAACUUUUUUUAAAAUUAAUACAUUGAUAUAUGAAUAAGUGAUCCAUUUUUUAUGAUUAUAAGAUUAAAUUACCUUAGGGAUAACAGCGUAAUUUUUUUUGAGAGUUCUUAUCGAAAAAAAAGUUUGCGACC